rnacentral:rRNA from 1 species
GCCAGACUCCUACGGGAGGCAGCAGUGGGGAAUAUUGCGCAAUGGGGGGAACCCUGAUGCAGCGACGCCGCGUGGGUGAAGGAGUAUUUCGGUAUGUAAAGCCCUAUCAGCAGGGAAGAACAAUGACGGUACCUGACUAAGAAGCCCCGGCUAACUACGUGCCAGCAGCCGCGGUAAUACGUAGGGGGCAAGCGUUAUCCGGAUUUACUGGGUGUAAAGGGAGCGUAGACGGCGAUGCAAGCCAGAUGUGAAAGCCCGGGGCUCAACCCCGGGACUGCAUUUGGAACUGUGUGGCUGGAGUGUCGGAGAGGCAGGCGGAAUUCCUAGUGUAGCGGUGAAAUGCGUAGAUAUUAGGAGGAACACCAGUGGCGAAGGCGGCCUGCUGGACGAUGACUGACGUUGAGGCUCGAAAGUGUGGGGAGCAAACAGGAUUAGAUACCCCAGUA